GGGCUGGCUCAGCGGUUAAGAGCACUGGCUGCUCUUCCAGAGGACCUGGGUUCAACUCUCAGAGCCCA
rnacentral:tRNA from 1 species